rnacentral:rRNA from 1 species
UACCCGCAGCACAAGUGGUGGUCAUUAUUAUUGGGCCUAAAGCGUCCGUAGCUGGCUUGUUAGAUGCCUGGGGUAAAUCGAUGCGCUCAACGUAUCGACUUCCGGGUAGACCGGCAAGCUCGAGACCGGGAGAGGUGUAGGCUACUCGAGGGGUAGGGGUAAAAUCCUGUAAUCCUUCGGGGGAGGACCAGUGGCGAAGGCGCUACACUAGAACGGCUCUGACAGUGAGGGACGAAGCCCUGGGGCGCAAACCGG